CUCUCAAAGCCUACGUAUAGAUGAGAGAGAAAAUGGGGCACAUUUCUUCACAGCACUGAAGAUGUAGCAUAAGGAGAGGCAAUGUCUGGAGUGGAGUGGCCAAGAUGACAGUGGGAGGGUCUUUAGCCUUCACACAGUACGUGGAUGCUUCGUGUGUAAAUGCUUGAGCCACAAACUUGUGAGAAUAAGUGACGCUGGCAACUUUGAUAUGC
rnacentral:lncRNA from 1 species